rnacentral:ncRNA from 1 species
AAAGCGGAAACCGAAAAGCUUACGAGUAGGUA